rnacentral:ncRNA from 2 species
AAUUGAAUAAUUUUCUUGAGUAUAAAAGGUCCUAAGGAAGUAAAAUCUAAGGCAUUUAUACCUGAAUCUAACAAAAGAUUCACAGGGUGAUACUUGAAAAAGUAUGAUCUCCACGUUUUGGGAAGGAAAAUCAGUAGAGUUUAU